GAUGAAGGAACGCAGCGAAAUGCGAUAAGUAGUGUGAAUUGCAGAAUUCAGUGAAUCAUCGAAUCUUUGAACGCACAUUGCGCCCUUUGGUAUUCCUUAGGGCAUGCCUGUUCGAGCGUCAUUUCAACCCUCAAGCCCUGCUUGGUGUUGGGCGUUUGUCCUGCCUCCGCGCGGGACUCGCCUCAAAGACAUUGGCGGCCGGUUUCCCUUUGCAGGCCACGAGCGCAGCACAGCGAGCGCUCUACGUGGACGCGGGGUCGGCGCACCAGAAGCCCUCUUUCUCGAAUUUUGACCUCGGAUCAGGUAGGGAUACCCGCUGAACUUAAGCAUAUCAAUAAGCGGAGGA
rnacentral:misc_RNA from 1 species